UACGUAGGUGUCAAGCGUUGUCCGGAUUUAUUGGGCGUAAAGCGCCCGCAGGCGGCUUGCCAAGUUCGAUGUGAAAUCUCCCGGCUCAACUGGGAGGGUGCAUCGAAAACUGGCAGGCUUGAGGCAGGGAGAGGGAUGUGGAAUUCCAGGUGUAGUGGUGAAAUGCGUAGAUAUCAGGAAGAACACCGGUGGCGAAAGCGCUCUGCUAGGCCGCAACUGACACUGAGGGACGAAAGCUAGGGGAGCGAAUGGG
rnacentral:rRNA from 1 species